UGAAGAGCAGGUUAGUAGAAUCCCCAUCUGAUUUCAGGAGUUGAGGGUCAAGCACUUUGUGUAGAAGGGCUGGGCAUGGUGGCGAACGCCUGUAAUCCCAGCACUUUUGAGGCUGAGGCAGGAGGACUGAGAUGAGUUCAAGGCCAGCCUUUGCAACAUAGUGAGUUCAAGACCAGCCCAAUCUCCAUAGAGAGCCUGACCUUAAAAAAAAAAAUUAUGUGGAAGGGAGCUGCCCACGUGCCCAUUUCCCCAGCUGUCUUCAAGGCCCACGUCCAGACUGCAGCAGGGCCCUCCACAUCAGCUGCAUCAAUUUAAAGGCUGCAACUCCCAGGGUUACAAUUGUUUUGAGGGCAUUGCACCAUGUUUUGUGUAACAGUGUCGGGCGGUAGCUUCAGAUAAUUAUAAACAGGUAUAUUCAGCUGCAUGAAAGCCCAAUGGGAUAUUCCCAAGCCAGGCAGGAUGUAGAAUUCUUCACUGUCCUGAGGACAUCCAGCAUCCGUGGCACCUGACCACACAAUGCCAGUGGAAACCCUCAUUCAUUUGGAUAACCAAAAAUUCCCCCCACAAAUUUUUUAACCAACUGCUGGAGGAUUGUCCACACACUGCUUCUCAGAUUUUGAAAACUUUAAACCUAGAUUUAUCUGUCCUCACACUCCCAAAAUCUGCUAAUAUUGUGAGUCUUUUCUCUACUCUCAUGGAUAACGCCUCCAGAAAAGCAGCAGCUACAGCAUAGACCAAGGAAAGACUGACCUUGGUUUUGCUUAGGAUGUUUCCAAUAGUUGCUCACCAUUUUUGGAAAACCACUGAAAGCAAAGCCUCUUGAGGUCAUGCCAAUACAUCCCAGUGCCUCAGUUGGCCUGGUAGCCGUGGUGGUCAGUGACUGCAUUCAUAUACAAGCAUGUGACACUUUCAAACGUUGUCUUGAUUACUUUUCUCAUUGCUGAGACAAAAUCCCCAAUACCCAAAGUUAAAGGAGGAAAGGUUUAUUGUAGCUCACACUUUGUAGACAUUUCAGUUCACAAUCAGCUGGCUCCAAGGCAGGGUGGCAUGGCAGAGGGACAUCGCGGAGGAGAAACAGUUCAUGUUGGGCAGAACGAAGCAAAGCAGCAAAGUAGUGAAGAAGCAGCAAUCAAAUGAUAGCAACCCUCUUUCUGUCCCUUAUAUUCUACCCAAGCUACACACCCUUAGGGUGGCUAGAACUCACACCCAGGAUGGGCCUUCCCAUUAUCCAUGCCCAGAACUAUGCCAAACCAAUCAGUGGACUAAGUGAAUAAUCACACACCCUUAAUCUCAGCAAGAGGAUCACACUGAAUCCAAGCAUCACACACUCUAGAUCUAGCCACUUCUGAGAAGCCCCCACCUACGACCACAUGAGGCUCUGGGGGGAGAGUGGACAUCUAGACACAAGUCAUAACAAAUGUCUUCAGAGCUAGAGUAUUUGCAUGCAGAUACACAGAGCUGUUGUAUAGCAUUUUCUCUUUAUUUCCUUGUAUUAUUAUUAUUGGGUUCUUUUUGGACAUUUUGACAUUUAACAUGGCAGAUGUUUAAAACUAUAUGUAGUAGGUAAUAUUAUUUAUGCAUUUAUUUCAGGUUAGUAAGGGGAUGUUAUAAAACAUUUGUUAUAAAUACAUGUUGUGUAGGAUAGAGUUGAGAAUAAGUUUAAGAGUUUGGCAGAUGUCAGCCUCAGUAGGAACAUUUUUCUGUUCAGAAUUAUUUUACUUUCCUUAAUAACAAACCUAGAGUAAAGGCCAAAGACAUGCAUUUCAUCAGGGUCAUCCGCCUUUGUUAUCAAGGUCCCAAUAGCAGCUGUGAUUCAGGCUCCUCCAUCUGCUCCCUCCACAAGCAUCGCACCUAGAUCUUUCUGCCCUCCAGGUGGGCAGCCCUAGAGAGAGAAAGUCCUGGAAGUAACAGAUGCACAGUCCUGGAGAGGACCCUCCUCCCCUCGAUAGUGGUCUUUUCUUUUGCUCUGGGCCAUUGAUUGCUUCUCCCAGGAUCUCUCUGUAUCCUUCCAUUUUUUCCUGAAGCCCUUGUAGCUCUGAAGAGCUCAUAUAAUUCCUGGGCCUAGAUCAAAUUCAAGACAAUUCCCUUUCCCCCAGGCCCAUGUCCCUUGAAAUAUCCCCCGGCAGGUCUGGCUCCAAUCAUGCAGUCACUGGGACCUAGCUGGCUAGGAGUGGUCUCCAAAGUAAUAAGCCUUCAGUCUCCAUGGCUACUGGCCAACAGCUGGGCACCUUCUCUGAGCCUGGAGCCAUUCUUCCACCUAACCACCCUGCAACCUUGCUCAGGCUGCAUGGAUUCAUGUUUGCUGUGGAAAACAGAGGAGCAGAAACAGGAGGUCUUCAUUUGGAUUCUGAGCACAGGGAUCUCCCUCAUGUUCCCACUUCUCUGGAUCUCGCUGGCUUAUCCUGUCACCAGUUCUGUGAACAGGCCUGCACUUCGCUGGGCUUGCCUCCCCUCUGACUGCCUUGAGGCCAGUUCCCAGCUUUGUCACUGCAUCCCAAAGAAAUAGAAUUCCAGCUCCAAAAGCGGUGACGGAUCAUGUGGAUUUUACUGGAGGUUUUGUGAAAUAACAGAAGUGUCAUAAAGCUCCCCCUAAGCUCCUUUCCCCAAGUUCUGCCCACAGCAGCUACACCUCCCUUCUCUGGCUCUCCAGCCUUUCUUCCUUGCCCUGUUUCCAUAGUGGCUGCAGUCCACGUGUAAAACUCCUUCAACCAGCUGGGUCUCCUGGCACAUGUCUAUAACCCCAGCACUCUGGAAGGCCACGGCAGGAGGACUGCAAGUUGGUGCCCAUCCUGAGCAACUUGGUGACUUAGUGAAACCCUGUCACAAAAUUAAAAAUUAAAAAUGGAUUGGAGAUGUAGUCCAAAGACAUAGGGUUCCAUCCCUAGGACUUGGAGGGAAAAAGAAGAACCAACCUGAACCAGAGAGAGGCUACCAGCAGGCCUUGGUUCAUCUCCCCAGCCUCUCCUAUCUCUCCUAAACACCUGUGGUACUUAGCAAAGGGAAGGGGGAGGGCUCUUUGCUUGUGUCCUGCCUAGAGUUUGCUCUGGUUUAAGGCUGGCCCCACUGCACCCUUCUGCCAUCCUACCCCAUCCUCCCUUCAUCUCUACAACUUUGCUUGAGGAUGUCCUUGUCAGCCCCACCCUGACCUGUAGGAGACCGUCAGUGACUAUCAAGGCCUUUGAUGAUGUUCCGGAGCAGGCGUGACUGCUAUGCAGGCAAGCUCAUGAGUCCUGGGAUUCCCCAGGGACAGACCCAGCAGCUCUACCUUCUUCAUGAGGCAGCUUCUGCACCAGCCUCAGCCCCUCCACCCACACCAGAGUCUGUACAAGAUGCUCUUCAUGUCCAUAAUCUGUAUAUGUUUGGGGGACAGGAGACAGUAGAAUGUGUCAUGCCAUAAAGCUCAGCCUCUGGGCUAUUCUGGGUUGUCCCAAGGCUAUCUGACCUUUGCUGGUACCUAUGGGGUGUCAGGAGAUCCAGCAAUCCCAAUGGGACAAACUUGUCACCUCAGAGACAAACUUGGGAGUGAUAUCUAGCCAGGUCCAAGGGCUGACUGAGAAGCCCAUCAGAUUAGGGCCUGGUCUGUUGAGAAUUUGACUUGUAUCACAUCCAGCUCCCUCUAUCUGUCACCCUCUGACUGCAGCUCUGAUUCAGAUUGUCUCCCUUUCUUCCUCCCUUCACUAAGAGCUGGAAUGCAGUUGCCCCUCCAGACUCUGGGAGGUUUAGCACUAUGGAAUGUCUAAACUGUUUCCACACUGACUGGCUUCAGCCAUCCCAGAUGCUGAAAGUUGUCACACACAAACACACACACACACACACACACACACACACACACACGAGAGUACCUCCCUAAGUGCACUAAUCUGGAGUUAUUGUACACUGGAACAGGGUACCUCCCUGUUCCCUGUGGUCAAGGUUCAGAGCUCUUAGCUCACAGAGACAUGGCUCGGGCAACUUGUAGUCUGACUUGGCUGCUGCUCCAGAAGUAAAUCCUGCAAGGAGGAUUCGAAAGGAGGAAACUGAACAAGAGUUCCCAAGAAGAACCAGGAAGGGAGUGGGGAUGGGAAGCAAGGAGAGUAAGGAUGGGCCACUGAGCAAUGCUACACAGAAGGUGACUUUAGCCAAUGCCACAGGGGACUUUGCAGGUCACCUAGGCCAUGUGUCAACACUGCCUGUCCAGGGAGCAGGGGAGCUGCAGGAUUAAUGCCCCUGCACCUAAACUACUGCCCUUGCCCCAUGUGUUUUCCCAAUACUUACAUUCUGUAUAUUUCCUUACAGUGGGUUCCAGGAGCCUGAGUUCAGUGUCUGGCAAAGAUGGAAUGGAGGCUGCUGAGGUGAAAGCUGGUAUGAAUUGCUGGGCCCACUGAGAAGUGUCAAGAAAGGCAAAGGCUAGGCGGGUUGGAUCCUGGUGUUCUGAAGACCCUCCCCUCUUCUGGGGCCUGUGGCUGCCGCUAGCAUUUCAGAGACCCUUGGACACUGACUCUGAGCUAACACAAUUUCUAGAGCUCCAGUUUGGCCCUGCAAUUAGCUGGUUCCAGCGGGAGUAUCAGUGGAAACCUCACCCUGAGUCUACGUCCUGGAAGCCCUACCCCUACCCUGCAGUCAUUUCCAUAGUUCCUGAAGGUGAAGUUGGAAUCUCCACCACCAGCAGCACCGAUCCUUGGCCUACGUGGACCCAGAGUUUUGUUUUUUUUUUUCCAAAGAAAACACUUAGAGUGGGUUCCUGGAUUCUCCUUCCCUGUUCAAACAAAAUAAAGGCUACAGUACAUCCACUAA